GUCCGCGUAGCUCAAUGGCAGAGCACUGCGCUAUCAUAACCCUUUAAUGAUUAUGUGAUACGGAGACCUGAGUUCGACCCUCAGCGCGGGCA